CCCAAUUUGUGCAACUUUCUGUAUUCCCCGGCUUUCUCCACAUGCAAAAUUCCCCAGGCCAGCAAAAGAACAGUUCUUUUCCAUGACUCAAACAUGCACAAAGUAAAAAUAGGAGCUGCCAUAAAAAAUAACUGGCAAGCUAGUGUUGCAGUUCAGCAUGAGCUCCACCUUUGAAUUUACUAUAUGAGUAAAUUCUUAAACACGUCCAAAAUUAUCAUUAUGAUAAAUUCGCAGCACAUUUUGAAUUUAUCAUAAUAAUAAAUUCGAGGCACUAACCCCUAACCACUAAUCCCC